GGCGCCGGCUUCCGGCCCGGCGAGGUUUGAGCGCGUCCGCGGGCUGGGAGGCCGCUGGAACCGGGCGCAUGGCCUCCCCCGGGCAGUUAUCUCCUUGCCGCGACCUUGAGGUCUUCGGUAAGAACUGGCGUUCCUCUUUCUAACGCCGGCUUUCGGCCUUCGCCCUUGACGCCCAGGCCCGGGGAGGCCGUCACUCAGGAACUGCUCCAUCCGAGUCCGCCGCCUCGGGGAUGCCGAGAGCCUGGUCCUGCCCUCCGUCCCCGGCCCCUUCCUAGACUCACUACUUCAAACCGGGCACUGUCCUGGAGCCAGUGAAACCAGACGAAAUUAAGGGAACAGCAGACGAAGGAACUGCCACCAUGCCCCAGACCCUGGUUUGCAAAUACAGUUCAACAAAGAUCUUGCCGGGAAUUGGCCUGGGAGAGUCCAAAGGACUGGGCUGGGGGUGGGGAAAUGAUUUUAGCCAGAAGACAAAUAUAGAGGUUGUACCCAGAAGGUUAAGAGGCUUAGAGGAAGGUUAAGAACUACGUUGACAUUUGGCUCCCAGGACCCCAGGUAAAGUGCCCUUGGAUUGAAUAGAUUUCUGAACUCCAGAAACAUUUAGAGGAAUCAAUAGAAUUAGAUUGGCAGCCAUUGUGCCAAUGGACAAGUGCUUACUGAGCCCCUUAAUCCCUUCACUGGGUAAGCAUUUGCCACACAUGUCCUCAAAAACCUACGUGUUAGCUUAAGUGGACUCCCUCAAGUUCAGAACAGGAGCAAAUAGUGUAAUCACAAAUUCCGUGUCUGAAUAAUCAUAACAAUGUUUAUGAAAAUAAGGACGACUGUUGAAAACUGCAACUGCAGCUGAACCUUAUGUGCCCAGACUUCAGAAUUCCCAAAGGCAAAAUGCCAGCAGGCCUUUGCACACUGAACACAUAGUGUUCAUAUCCUUCACUUUCCUUUCCUGCCCUCUCCCAUCUUCUCCAGGUCUGCCUGUGAAAGGACCCAAUUCUAGGACCCCCCAGGAUGGUUAGGCCCUUCCUCCGAAAGUACACUUUGCAAUUUGUUAGUCUCCUCAAGAACCCCAGCGAUCCAAACUGAUGCAUGCAAAUUGCAGGUGUUCAAAGGAGCAAUUUUGAAUCUAGCUUUGUUGAUCCCGGGAGAAAUCUUUGACCUGUGUUAGUGAAAGGCUACGGUGUUUCUCAGCUGAUUAUAAUAGUGAGGUAGCUGGAUGCAAAAAAACAGUUUCAGAGAAUGGUAGAGUAUAUCCUCCAAAGGCAAUACUCACUUCUCUAUUCUGGUGACAGAAACAAGAGCUAAAGCAAAAUUCUACAGAGGGCUUUAUUUGGAGAGAGGUGGAUUUUAUUUAUAAUGCAUUUAAAAUUCAAAAUCUUUCUAGUUUGAACUCUUGACAUUCUGAUUAAUGCAUUUUUAUUCAACUUAAUUAUUCCUCAGUACACCUCGCUAUCACUUGUGUAUCCCUUUUCUACAUGUGACCUUUCCCUGGCCACAUCUGCUACUCUUUGAGCAUGAUGCCUCUACUGUAUUCUAUUCCAGAGCUCGUUGUUUUGUCAGUUUUUUUCUCUCCACAAAAAAAGAUGAUGAAAUAAUUACAUAGAAUUUUUCCCUUCUCC
rnacentral:lncRNA from 1 species